UGGAAAAUGUGUCUCUAGAAAAUUAUAUGGUCUUGUCCUGUUACCUGAACUCAAAAUAUGUUAUUUCCACUGUGGACAUUGGUGUCAUCUGAAGUCAGGAGAUGCAAGAAAACAAUCUUAGAGACUAAGUUACAACUUUUAACUGAGCAAUAUGUGGAAUGAUCCCUCCUGUAGAAGGACCACUACAGCCAG
rnacentral:lncRNA from 12 species